rnacentral:lncRNA from 1 species
AGGAGCUGCUGCACCAAAGAGCCCCAUCGCCGGUGGGUUUAAGUUUUUUACAUUUUUUUGGCCCACUGAAGGCCCUAAGUGUGUUUUCUCACAGGAACCGAUGCAAGUUUGGCUGAAUUAUGCUAAAAACAGCCAACCCGAGGCAGAUCGCCGCUGCCCAUAGCGGCGCCGUCGUCGGAGCACGGCAAAGCCGCCGUGCAGGAAUUUUGAAAUUGGCCGAGUAGGCCCUGGGUCUGAUUUUUGGGUCAUUUAGGACAUGUGUAGGUACCGUAAACGCGUUUUAGUUCCUGAAAAAAAGUUCAGGAAACUUAGUGACUGCCCGUAGGCGCAGUAACAAUCUAGUUUUUGGCGUCGAAUCAAGUAAAGACCCCUCACCCUAUUUUCU